rnacentral:rRNA from 1 species
AACGAACGCUGGCGGCAUGCCUAACACAUGCAAGUCGAACGAGACCUUCGGGUCUAGUGGCGCACGGGUGCGUAACGCGUGGGAACCUGCCCUUAGGUUCGGAAUAACUCCCCGAAAGGGGUGCUAAUACCGGAUAAUGUCUUCGGACCAAAGAUUUAUCGCCUUUGGAUGGGCCCGCGUUGGAUUAGCUAGUUGGUAGGGUAAAAGCCUACCAAGGCGACGAUCCAUAGCUGGUCUGAGAAGAUGAUCAGCCACACUGGGACUGAGACACGGCCCAGACUCCUACGGGAGGCAGCAGUGGGGAAUAUUGGACAAUGGGCGAAAGCCUGAUCCAGCAAUGCCGCGUGAGUGAUGAAGGCCUUAGGGUUGUAAAGCUCUUUUACCCGGGAUGAUAAUGACAGUACCGGGAGAAUAAGCUCCGGUUAACUCCGUG